rnacentral:rRNA from 1 species
AGAGUUUGAUCCUGGCUCAGAUUGAACGCUGGCGGCAGGCCUAACACAUGCAAGUCGAGCGGUAACAGGGGAAGCUUGCUUCUCUGCUGACGAGCGGCGGACGGGUGAGUAAUGUAUGGGGAUCUGCCUGAUGGAGGGGGAUAACUACUGGAAACGGUAGCUAAUACCGCAUAAUGUCUACGGACCAAAGCGGGGGACCUCCGGGCCUCGCGCCAUCAGAUGAACCCAUAUGGGAUUAGCUUGUAGGUGAGGUAACGGCUCACCAAGGCCACGAUGCAUAGCCGACCUGAGAGGGUGAUCGGCCACACUGGGACUGAGACACGGCCCAGACUCCUACGGGAGGCAGCAGUGGGGAAUAUUGCACAAUGGGCGCAAGCCUGAUGCAGCCAUGCCGCGUGUAUGAAGAAGGCCUUAGGGUUGUAAAGUACUUUCAGUUGGGAGGAAGGCGUUGAUGCUAAUAUCAUCAACGAUUGACGUUACCGACAGAAGAAGCACCGGCUAACUCCGUGCCAGCCGCCGCGGUAAUAC